CUAAUGCGGAGAGUUCGGGCCAUGUUCAACAAACGAAUCAGCAACUUUCAGGUACCCUCCGUCGACUAAUGCGGAGAGUUCGGGCCAUGUUCAACAAACGAACCAGCCCCCACCAAUGCC